rnacentral:rRNA from 1 species
UACGUAGGGUGCAAUCGUUAAUCGGAAUUACUGGGCGUAAAGCGUGCGCAGGCGGUUUUGUAAGUCUGUCGUGAAAGCCCCGGGCUCAACCUGGGAAUUGCGAUGGAGACUGCAAGGCUUGAAUCUGGCAGAGGGGGGUAGAAUUCCACGUGUAGCAGUGAAAUGCGUAGAGAUGUGGAGGAACACCGAUGGCGAAGGCAGCCCCCUGGGCUAACACUGACGCUCAUGCACGAAAGCGUGGGGAGCAAACAGG